CAGGAACAACGUAGGUGGCGUGCAUAACACAUGCAAGUCGAUCGGAAAGGCCCCUUUGGGGGUACUCGAGUGGCGAACGGGUGAGUAACAUGUGAGUAACCUGCCCAUGAGUUCGGGAUAUCUUCCGGAAUCUGGGAGUAAUACAGGAUAGGAAUCCUUGCCGCAUCGUGGUGAUAGGAAAGCUUCGGCGGUUAGGAUGGACUCGCGUAAUAUCUCCCCAAGGUGGGGUAGUGUAUUACCAAGGAUAGGACGGUUAGCCACCCUGAGAGGGAGACCGGCCCCAUUGUCAUUGAGAUGCGGCCCAUACUGAUUCUUGAGCCAGCAGUGGGGACUAUAUCACAAUGGGCGGAAGCCUGAUGCAGCACCUUCGCGUGCGAGAGGACGGCCUUCGGGUUGUAAACCGCUUUCAUCAGGGGCGAAGCUUUUUGGCGGUUCCCUGCAGAAAAAGCCCGGCUAAAUUCGUGCCAGCAACCGCGGUAAUACGGAGGGGGCAAGCGUUAUUCGGAAUUUAUGGGGGUAAAAGACCUGCAGGGGGUUUGACAAGUCGGAUGUGAAAUCCCCUAGCUCAACCUNGAGCGUGCAUUCGAUACGGGUUAACUUGAGUAAGGUAGAGGAGAAUGGAAUUCCUGGUGUAGCGGUGGAAUGCGCAGAUAUCAGGAAGAACACCAGUGGCGAAGGCGGUUCUCUGGACAAUUAACUGACGCUG
rnacentral:rRNA from 1 species